GACGAACGCUGGCGGCGUGCUUAACACAUGCAAGUCGAACGGAAAGGCCCCUUUGGGGGUACUCGAGUGGCGAACGGGUGCGUAACACGUGAGUAACCUGCCCUUGACUUCGGGAUAACUUCAGGAAACUGGGGCUAAUACCGGAUAGGAAUCCUUGCUGCAUGGUGGGGGUUGGAAAGCUUCGGCGGUUUUGGAUGGACUCGCGGCUUAUCAGCUUGUUGGUGGGGUAGUGGCUUACCAAGGCUUUGACGGGUAGCCGGCCUGAGAGGGCGACCGGCCACAUUGGGACUGAGAUACGGCCCAGACUCCUACGGGAGGCAGCAGUGGGGAAUAUUGCACAAUGGGCGGAAGCCUGAUGCAGCAACGCCGCGUGCGGGAUGACGGCCUUCGGGUUGUAAACCGCUUUCAGCAGGGGCGAAGCUUGUGGUGACGGUACCUGCAGAAGAAGCACCGUCUAACUACGUG
rnacentral:rRNA from 1 species